rnacentral:rRNA from 1 species
AUUGAACGCUGGCGGCAGGCCUAACACAUGCAAGUCGAACGAGUGGCGGACGGGUGAGUAAUGUCUGGGAAUCUGCCUUAUGGAGGGGGAUCACUACUGGAAACUGUAGCUAAUACCGCAUACCAUAAGCUGUGCCCAAGGGGGAUUAGGUUGUUGUGGGGGUAAAGGAGCACCAAGGCGACGAUCUCUAGCUGGUCUGAGAGGAUGACCAGCCACACUGGGACUGAGACACGGUCCAGACUCCUACGGGAGGCAGCAGUGGGGAAUAUUGCACAAUGGGCGCAAGCCUGAUACAGCCAUGCCGCGUGUGUGAAGAAGGCCUUCGGGUUGUAAAGUACUUUAAGCGAGGAGGCGUUACCCGCAGAAGAAGCACCGGCUAACUCCGUGCCAGCAGCCGCGGUAAUUC